AGUGAACGCUGGCGGUAGGCCUAACACAUGCAAGUCGAACGGCAGCACAGUAAGAGCUUGCUCUUACGGGUGGCGAGUGGCGGACGGGUGAGGAAUACAUCGGAAUCUACUUUUUCGUGGGGGAUAACGUAGGGAAACUUACGCUAAUACCGCAUACGACCUACGGGUGAAAGCAGGGGAUCUUCGGACCUUGCGCGAUUGAAUUAGCCGAUGUCGGAUUAGCUAGUUGGCGGGGUAAAGGCCCACCAAGGCGACGAUCCGUAGCUGGUCUGAGAGGAUGAUCGGCCACACUGGAACUGAGACACGGUCCAGACUCCUACGGGAGGCAGCAGUAGGGAAUAUUGGACAAUGGGCGCAAGCCUGAUCCAGCCAUACCGCGUGGGUGAAGAAGGCCUUCGGGUUGUAAAGCCCUUUUGUUGGGAAAGAAAAGAAGCAGGUUAAUACCCCGAUGUUCUGACGGUACCCAAAGAAUAAGCACCGGCUAACUUCGUG
rnacentral:rRNA from 1 species